rnacentral:rRNA from 1 species
AGUCUGGUGCCAGCAGCCGCGGUAAUUCCAGCUCCAAUAGUGUAUACUAACGUUGUUGCGGUUAAAAAGCUCGUAGUUGGAUUUUUGGUUGCGUGCGGGCGGGCGGCAUUGACUGCUUGUGUUGCGCGGGGCCUUUUGGGGACGUCGUUGUGACGUGUCCGAUUACUUUGAACAAAUUAGAGUGCUCAAAGCAGGCGUUUGCCUUGAAUAGAUUAGCAUGGAAUAAGAGAUAUGAUUUGCGUGGUGCUUUGUUGUGUUGGCGGUCGCGCGAGUAAUGAUGGACAGGGACGGACGGGGGCUUGAGAAUUGCGUCGCCAGAGGUGAAAUUCUUAGACUGGCGCAAGUCUGGCUGAUGCGAAAGCGAUUGCCAAGCACGUUUUCAUUGAUCAAGAACGAAAGUUGGGGGAUCGAAGACGAUUAGAUACCGUCGUAGUCUCAACCAUAAACGAUGCCAACCAGGGAUUGGGGGGGGCAAUAGACUUUCUCACGACUUCCUCAGCACCUUGCGAGAAAUCAGAGUGUUUGGGUUCCGGGGGAAGUAUGGUCGCAAGGCUGAAACUUAAAGGAAUUGACGGAAGGGCACCACCAGGAGUGGAGCCUGCGGCUUAAUUUGACCCAACACGGGAAAACUUACCAGGCCCAGACGUAGCGAGGAUUGACAGAUUGAAAGCUCUUUCUUGAUUUUAUGGAUGGUGGUGCAUGGCCGUUCUUAGUUGGUGGAGUGAUUUGUCUGCUUAAUUGCGAUAACGAACGAGACCUUGAGGGCUUGGUGGGGCUGUGGCGGGGCAACCCGGCGCGCCCGGACUAGUCCGACUGCUGCGUGUUGUAACCAGAGGAAGUUUGAGGCUAUAACAGGUCUGUGAUGCCCUUAGAUGGUCUGGGCUGCACGCGCGCUACAAUGGGCAAGACAGCGAGUGACGAGGCGCGGCGAGUCCGUGCUGUCCUGCUCCGGGAGGGGUGGGUAAUCUUGCAAACUUGUCCGUGAUGGGGAUAGAUGUUUGUAAUUUUGGAUCUUGAACGAGGAAUUCCUAGUAAACGCGUGUCAACAACGCGCAUUGAUUACGCCCCUGCCCUUUGUACACACCGCCCGUCGCUCCUACCGAUUGGGUGUUGAGGUGAGGUUUUUGGAGCUUGUUGGUUUCCUGGGCGACUGGGGGGCUGGGGGCGAAGUUACCCAAAUCUUGACAUCUAGAGGAAGGAGAAGUCGUAACAAGGU